rnacentral:rRNA from 1 species
CCUACGGGUGGCAGCAGUCGAGAAUCAUUCACAAUGGGGGAAACCCUGAUGGUGCGACGCCGCGUGGGGGAAUGAAGGUCUUCGGAUUGUAAACCCCUGUCAUGUGGGAGCAAAUUAAAAAGAUAGUACCACAAGAGGAAGAGACGGCUAACUCUGUGCCAGCAGCCGCGGUCAUACAGAGGUCUCAAGCGUUGUUCGGAAUCACUGGGCGUAAAGCGUGCGUAGGCUGUUUCGUAAGUCGUGUGUGAAAGGCGCGGGCUCAACCCGCGGACGGCACAUGAUACUGCGAGACUAGAGUAAUGGAGGGGGAAGCGGAAUUCUCGGUGUAGCAGUGAAAUGCGUAGAUAUCGAGAGGAACACUCGUGGCGAAGGCGGGUUCCUGGACAUUAACUGACGCUGAGGCACGAAGGCCAGGGGAGCGAAAGGGAUUAGAUACCCUUGUAGUC